AAGUCGUAACAAGGUUUCCGUAGGUGAACCUGCGGAAGGAUCAUUACAUUCAGUAGCCUAGCUACUUGUUUACACCCUUGUUUUUUGCGUACCUAUUGUUUCCUCGGUGGGCUUGCUCACCGGCUGGACAAAACCUAUAACCUUUUUUAAAUCUUCAAUCAGCGUCUGAAUUAUACAUAAUAAUUACAACUUUCAACAACGGAUCUCUUGGUUCUG
rnacentral:misc_RNA from 2 species